rnacentral:misc_RNA from 1 species
AACACUGUUAACCUGCGGUACCUGCGGAAGGAUCAUUAAAAAAUCUUUGCCCGCGGACCCUGGGUCCAAGGCGCAAAACCCACACUGUGUGCACUGUUAUCGUUCUUUUGGCAGGGGCUUGAGGUGUCUUCCAACCCGGGAAACCUCAACUUCUUGUCCGGCUCUAUCCACCUCGGACAGCUGGACAUGAGAAGCAGUUACUCUCCCAAGUGACCCUUAAAAACACGCUUUUUUUGUCUG